rnacentral:misc_RNA from 1 species
GUGAAUCAUCGAAUCUUUGAACGCACAUUGCGCCCGCCAGUAUUCUGGCGGGCAUGCCUGUUCGAGCGUCAUUUCAACCCUCAAGCUCUGCUUGGUGUUGGGGAUCGGCAAGGCGUCCUCCGGGUCGCGCCGUCCCCCAAAUAUAGUGGCGGUCUCGCUGUAGCUUCCUCUGCGUAGUAAUACACCUCGCUCUGGAGUCUCGGUGCGGCCACGCCGUAAAACCCCCAACUUUUUUCUGGUUGACCUCGAAUCAGGUAGGACUACCCGCUGAACUUAAGCAUAUCAAUAAGCGGAGGA